GGGGCUGUGGCUCACUGGCCGAGCAACUGCCCGACAUGCAGAAGGCCCCAGGUUCGAACCCGGGCAUCUCCG
rnacentral:tRNA from 1 species